UACGAAGGGGGCUAGCGUUGCUCGGAAUCACUGGGCGUAAAGGGUGCGUAGGCGGGUCUUUAAGUCAGGGGUGAAAUCCUGGAGCUCAACUCCAGAACUGCCUUUGAUACUGAGGAGCUUGAGUCCGGAAGAGGUGAGUGGAACUCCGAGUGUAGAGGUGAAAUUCGUAGAUAUUCGGAAGAACACCAGUGGCGAAGGCGGCUCACUGGUCCGGUACUGACGCUGAUGUGCGAAAGCGUGGGGAGCAAACAGGGAUUAGAAACCCCAGUAACGUC
rnacentral:rRNA from 1 species